ensembl:lncRNA
GUGGCAACCAUCCACAAAAUACAAUGUAAAUGUUCUUUUUAAUAAAUUGAAAAGAUCUACGUAUGUCAUAUACGUAUGCAGUAUAGUUGUGUAGUAGUGUUAGCUAUUUCUGUAACUUACCAAACACAAUGCAGAUAAGGAGGAUGCUCUGUUGUCUAAGAGAGGAAACAAUAUGACAAAAUGACAUUAAGAAGGUUCAAACUUUCAGCCUUUAAACAAAACACCAUAGGAAAUUAUUACAUAGAGAGAGAAGUAGAUUACCGCUGUUCCAUAUUACCAACAUAGUUAAUUAUGUUUCUCAAAAGACAAACUACUUUAAAUGCUAUUGACAUCGGAUUUGUAACUUAUCCAUAAUUCAGACAUGAAUGGAGGAGUGAAAUAUUCCCGUGGUUACCACCAAGUUAGUUACCCAACUAACCAGUUCAUGCCAGUUCAGCACAUAACUUAAUACCGUUACAUAUUUGUCAUACUAAUGUGCCGCUAGCUUAGCGGCUAUGCUAUUGUUAGCCACGUUUUGGCGUUGACAUACACAGGGAAUAUUUCACUCUUUCAUUAGUGUACACAUACUGCACGGGUUACAAACGGACGACAACGCCGUUUCACAACUAUAUAACUGUCAUUACACCAUCCAAACUAUGAGCCCUUAGACCCGCGGCUCAGCGGUACUUACCGGUCAAGACUUCAGAGGAAUUUGACGGAGAUGCGUUGAUGUGACGUUAGAUUUGAUUGAUGCAUUCAGGAACAUUUGGACAUUACGCUCUCAAAAUGCCGGGUUCGAUAGAAACUGUACCAAACAAACCUCAAAGCUUAAUUCCUCAGCUGUCAUAAUGCAUUUUAUUAAAUCUAUAGUUGUCCUUUAAGAGCACUCGUAUCAUCAGCGAGAUACUAUAGUUUAAGCUGAUAAAUUGACAACAAGAUAUGGUCAAUACAUGUGGUUAAUUCUUGAAAUGUGAAAAGUUGAUUAAGUAAUGUUUUCCUAAGGCAUAAUAUGAAUUCACUAAUGAUUUUUUAGUACAUAAUACGAGACUAAUUUGUGACACUAUUACCUUGUUAAAUCUAGUUUUGGAAAUAGCAACAUUAAGCUCCUACGCGGUGUAUCAGGCAAACACUUACGUCAUCAGCCAUUAUUUCCGACAUCAUCGGAGCGCUUUUGAACUCAUCACUGUCAAAAUCACUGUCAAAAAUCCAUAUAAAAAUUUCGCGGGCAAAAGUCCAUCUCGCGCAAGCAAAAGUCGGUGAUUUGCCUCAGUCCUGUGAAAGCUGACAGAGAAGUAAGUUUGUUCCUCUCUAAAUGAGAUAAGAAAAUGAAGAAUAUGAAGAAUAACUGACAUUAAUUGAGUAUUUAUAUUGUAUAACCCUAUAAGUAUAACCCUUUUUAACAAAAGAAACAAUUAAGUGACUAGAGUUGUUUAAAAUGUUUAAGCUAGCGGUUGGAUAGAUUAUCUUGGUUAGCAAAAGCGAUUUCCAAAUAGUGGUCAUCAAUUUUUUAAUGCAGUUUAGCGUUUUAGGCAAACGUAAUGCUCUCUUUAAUCCAAUAUAUAUUAACCUUAUACGUUUGUGAUAACCAUAUACUAAUGAAGCAACACAAUAUGAAAUAAAAGAAACGUUUUAGAAAAUAAUGUGUACUAACCUACUACAUAGCUUUUUCUUAAUGCUUUGUGUUUAUUUUAAUAUUUCAGAAUGGCAUUAAAGACGCUUUUGACAACAAAGCCUCCAACACCCUAUUUUCGCCCCCCGCCAAUCCACCUAUGUGUGGUGUUGGUGGUGGAGCAGCCCAGGGUGGUGGCCUGGGAGUUUGACGCAAAUGGUGCGAGACCAGCACAGACUAAAAUGAAUAUUCUGGCCGCAUUAACAGAUGGGGAUUCAGUGGCCAAGGUCACUGUAUUCGAGGAGUUUGGAAAAAGAUUUAAGGAGGGUGGCAGUUAUAAUGUGAAGGGGCUGUCUCUGAGAGGGCAGUCCCCCCCAUAUCAAUUAAACAUUACCAAGGACACGCUGUUCUUUAGGAGCGCUCCUAUAGCGCUCAGCGCAGCGCUCAAACGUGAAGCAGAGCUUCUAAUACACCCCCCCUCUCCACUGACUCCGCUGAGCACCUGCCGGGAAGCCAGGGGCCUUAUAACCGUGGAGGGCGAGGUGGUCGAGGUAAAUUAAGUUUCAGCCUACAGUGGUUUAAAAAGGAAACAGGUUUAAUAUUAGCUGCAAAUUGGUAUAAAAUGUCAAUUAACUGAAACAUUAAUUUUGUUCAGCUGUCAGCUUUAAAAGAAGUCACGACAGGGAGAGACGUCGUUCCAUUGCGGAACGUCACGAUGCAGCAGGGGGAAUCACAGAUGUCGCUGUGUUUCUGGAGGGAGGCGGCCGUAUGGCAGCUGCAGGUGGGGGCCCACAUUAAAGUUUCCCAUCUUAAAGCUGGAAGGUCUAACUAUGGGCUCAGACUCCAGUCCACAAACUUUUCCACCAUCGAGGAGGUACGCUCAGAGGACAUCGUGGGGGCACUCGGGGUGAUGGAGAUUGAGGGAGAUCCGGGGAACCUCAACCUUCUUCUGGAAGACGGCCGUACCGUCUUAAUUGAGGAGAGAUUGUGGGAGCCAAUCGAACUUGUCAUGAUUGAACCCGUGAUAAAAGUUCAAAUUAAAAUGACAGGAAACAAGGUGCAGGCGAUUGAAGUGGCGAAAAAUUAAAAUUUCUACUGUUAUAAAAUGUAUAUGUUUAUAAGAUUGUGUUCAUAAUGUAUUAGUUAUGUGUUCAUUUUGUUGUUCAUUUUGUUUUGACUUGUUACUUAUGUUCAAUUGUUUUUUUUACGCUUGUUUAUAAUUGUUAUUUGUUGCAAUAAAUAUUCAACCGUAGCAAUGUUGUCCGUUACUGUUCAUUUUGAAUGCUGUAUGUGACUUAUUUUCAGUAGAGGUUUCUUAUCCCCUUUAGCAAUGAUGGCUGGUGGAACACUUCCUAUAGGACCAUCCAAUCAAUUUCAGCAAACAUUCAAGUAUUAGUUAAUAAAAACAAUAAGGGGAAUCAAAAGCAUUAGUACCUUGCAGUUGGGUAUAAUUUAUUCCAGCACUAAAAAAGCAGUAAAUAACACUGACAUCUUAUUUCUGUCACCCUCACAGGUAAUUCAGUAUAAUAUUCAUACAUUUUAUAUUAUGUGUCCUUCAAACUAUGACGUUAUCAAUCGAUAGGCCUCAUCAAAAACAUUACAGUAAGAAUUCCCUCCAUGGGGCUUUUUUUUU